UGGGGAACCUGCCCCAUAGUCUGGGAUACCACUUGGAAACAGGUGCUAAUACCGGAUAAGAAAGCAGAUCGCAUGAUCAGCUUUUAAAAGGCGGCGUAAGCUGUCGCUAUGGGAUGGCCCCGCGGUGCAUUAGUUAGUUGGUAAGGUAAAGGCUUACCAAGGCGAUGAUGCAUAGCCGAGUUGAGAGACUGAUCGGCCACAUUGGGACUGAGACACGGCCCAAACUCCUACGGGAGGCAGCAGCC
rnacentral:rRNA from 1 species